GGGGAUGGUGUCCCCUCCCCCGUCGUAAGGAAAACAGGGGUCGGCGCCCUUGUCCUCCUCCUCCAUGAUGACGGACAGAGAGUCGGCAAGAGGAGGCCAGGCGACGCUAGGCUAAGCUAGUCUUCCUUGAGCACAGCAGCUGACUUCAGGGCUGAUGACAUCAUCGCACACAAACAAACACUCACAGCCUGCUCAGUUGCCAGGGGAGAUCACCGAGCCUGUGCUGACCACUGACAAGCACCCCUCUAGAAGACAUUAAGACCUCUUCCACCGCAGGAACCGCGGAAAAAACUACGCGGGUACAGCAGGUAGGAUGUGACCUAGAGGUGAAAGAGAAAUUCUGGAAGGAGCGAGACCAAGUCGUUCUGAGCAUCCCAGACAGAGAGAGAGUCGGGAUUGGUGCAGAUUGUCAUGGACAUGUUGGUGAAGGAAAUAGGGGUGACGAAGAAGUGAUGGGUGCUCCCUACCUGGGGAGGAAGCGUCCCCGUCGAGCAGGUUGUCAUCCUCAGUGGUGUGAAAGUCCAUGACGAUGCCAGCUCCAUCCAGCAGCUCCUCGUCGCUGCUGGCGCUGGCAAUGCUGUUGUAGCUGUUCUGGGAGUAGCCUCUGUGGUACAGCUGCUCUGACUCCAUUUAGCAAAGCACCAGUGCCCUGGGUGACAUGAGAACAUGAGCAAAUCGCCUCAUUAAACAUUCAACUGAUAUAUAAGCUGGUCAUGUCUAAAUCCAUGUGUGUCUUGUAUUUAAAUACUCAAUGUAAUUGAGUAAUUUUUUGUCAUUGUGCAGUCAGUUUUGCAGUAAGCUCCAACUGGGGUGUCAAUAAACAGCUUAAAGCGCGCUCAGGGAAGGCAGAAGAACAUGCUACAAGCAACAGCGCGUGCGUUCAACGCAGGAACUUGCAUACACAACCCGCGCUGAACAAUCGCUUAAUUGUAUUAAUAAAAAAAACAAUUUUUUCGUAUGCUCCUCUGGGCCCGGGACUUCGUUUCAGCUUGAGGUCACGAAGAGAUGGCCGGACAUCAGAAUUCAUGGUUCCAUUUAUUACAGCAGGUCUAGCAGGUCCUGAAGUAGACCUCAGACCACACGACUACCACCACCGUAUUUUACUGUUGGCAUGAUGUUCUUUUUCUGAAAUGCGGUGUUACUUUUUACGCCACACACACCUUCCAAAAAGUUCAACUUUUGUGUCGUCAGAACCAAAGACAACUUUACCAAAGGUCCUGGGGAUCGUCAAGAUGUCUUCUGGCAAAAUUAAGAUGAGGCUUAAUGUUCUCUUUGCUCAGCAGUGGAACACUGACCUCGAAGGUCAGAGGACAAACAUGUUAAGAGGUCAGUUAAAAUUCAUAUUUGCAUUGUUUAUGUGUUAUGUAACACAUUUCCAGCAAGUUGACGACCAUAGUUUAGGUAAAAAUGGUGAUCUCCUGGCAAAGCAAAUCAAGUGGAAUUGACAAUUUCUUGCGGCAGCUCGACGCGUUGGCUCGGAUCCUCCACGGCGAGACGAGCUGGCGUUGACGUAGCGGCGCGGAUACAAAGUGUCUCGCUACAAGUUACCGCUGCUAGCAAAGCUGGCGAAGCGAAAAAAGAAAAGAAGGAAGCGACCAUCCGCCGUUGAAAAAGACUUUUAUCUUUGCUGUACUGAGGAGAGGCUUCCGUCGGGCCACUCUGCCAUAACGCCCAAACUGGUGGAGAGCUGCAGUGAUGGUUGCCUUUCUAGAACUUUCUCCCACCUCCCGACUGCAUCUCUGGAGCUCAGCUACAGUGAUCUUUGGGUUCUUCUUUACCCGUCUCACCGAGGCUCUCUACCGAAAAAAAAACUACCAGGGCACGGAGGGUUCCCCCUGGAUUAUUUUGUUCCUCCUGGUGGAGCGGGUCUUCUGAGAGCUACCAGGAACUCUUUGAGGGGGCGGGCUGUGCUGACGAAAGCUGAUUGGUUGACAGACGUCUGUAGGGGUUUACUUUUUCAAUUCAAAGAGUCGCCAUUAUGUGGCGUUCCGCAGGGCUCGAAACAGGAGGAUUAAAAUACAUUGAAAAGCAAAACUUCGAAUCAUCGACCGAGCGGUGGCGGACCUCGCGGCGAGAUUUGCCGUUGCUGACCGACUCUGUUCUGCUAAGGAGAAUUCGAGCUCAAGCGGGCGUGUACAUCUUCCUCGGCCGGGCCAGAGGGGACGAACACCAGCGUCUUCUGCCGACCAGGAUUUGAGUAAAUGGGAUCCGGAAUCGUCAUACGAGUGAACUCCCUCUGGAUCGCCAGCCGAGCUUCAUCCCUUCGGAUGAUAUGGAGACGAAGCUGCCUUGUGUCAACCGUCGAGACCUUCAAGUUCCUGGGAAUUACAGUCUCUCAGGACCUGAAGCGGGCGACCAACAUCAACUACGUCCUCAAAAAGGCCCAGCAUGUACAUGAGGAUGUACUUCCUGCGGCUUCUGAGGAAGCACGGCCUGCCACGGGAGCUGCUGGGGCGGUUCGACACAGCGGACAUCCAAUCGGUCCUGUGUUCUUCCUUCACAGUCUGGUUUGGUGCUGCUAUAAAAAAGGACAAACUCCGACUGCGACGGACAAUCAAAACUGCUGAAAGGAUUGUCGGUACCCCCCGACCCACCCUUGAGGACUUGCACGCUGCCAGAACUAAGACAAGAGCGUGCAAAAUCCUCUCGGACCCUCCGCAUCCCGGUCACCGGCUCUUCCGGCUCCUUCCCUCAGGUAGUCGCUACCGAUCAAUGCAAACUAGAACUAGCAGACAUUCCAACACCUCCAUCCCUCUUGCCAUCAACUUCUUAAACAGCUAACCUACAAUUCCAUUACAACAUGCUGGCCAUUUUUUGACUUGACUUUGUUGUCACAUUUGUGUGGGGCCAAUGAUGUGUUACUCGUGCACUCACUGUAGUCGUCUCGCCACGCCGCACUAUUUGCAUAUCUGCUGUUGACCAAUACUGGCCACUCAUGCCAGAGUAGCAUCUGCUCCAUUUGCACACUGACUGAGGAGUAUCUGCAACAUUUGCACAAUCAACAUUGUCCCAGAUUAUCGCACUACUCUCUUAAAGUCUCGGCGCCCUUUGCACAACGGUCAUUGCACCGGACUAUUGCAAUAUUAGUCUUUCGAACUGCUCUAAGUGCUAGAGGACUCUGCAUCUUUUUGCACAAUUGUCAAAAAUAAAUAAAUAAAUGUAGAGGCAUUACCAGAUAACUA